rnacentral:tRNA from 1 species
GCGCCAUUAGCUCAGCGGUAGAGCAUCUGACUUUUAAUCAGGUGGUCGCAGGUUCGAAUCCUGCAUGGCGCA